CUUCGCCUCUGCAAUCAAGCUCUCCCAAUAAACGUGUGCAGAAGGAUCCUGUUGCAGCGUUACUGCUGGCCAGUCUGGAGCGCGCAAGACCUGCCAUAGGUUACUGGCUUUUUAAUUGACAGGUGAUGCAUCCAUACAAUACAUGAGCUAGUCUCUCCACAGAUGCUUCUGUCUGUCAGGUAAUUAGUCACGGUAAUAAGAAAAGUAACCAAUGCAGGUAGGGCAAGGAUCCUCAUGUGCAGAGGGAGGUGAGGCAGGACAAUGAUGGUGAGCUGCACGCACACUGUGAAGGGAGGCUGGGUGAGCCAAGGGAGAAGAAGCAGCAGAGUGGGUGUGGAGAGGGGAACUGGCUGGCAAGACACCUGGAUGCCAAGUGCAACACCCACAUCCCAGAAACUGUCUUAUUGUGUGUCCAUGGGUGGUGCUCCAGAAAGACAGCCAUAUCCAACAAAAGGACCGUCGACCAUGAUUAUAGGAAUAAGAACCAAGACUCCAGUAGGGGUUUUAAUUGGGAGCGAAGAGGGCUGAUGCAAAGCACACAGCAUUGGAUGUGGGAGAUUCCAACUCGGGCUAGCAGCAGCAGAGAGAGUGCGAGCAGGUGGAUGGAGUGGUCUGAGAUCUGUUGUCUCGGGGGCAAUGUACACCACAUCUCCCUGGCAGUGUAAGGAGCAGGAUGUUUUCAUGUAAGAUACAGAUCAGUGGUCGGUUUGCCGUUGGUCUCAUCCUGUACCUGGUAGGUAAUGAGAUAAAGGCACAAAGGACAGACAUAUCUUACAGAAUUUUAACGGGAAGACAGAAGCUCUCGGUGGAUGGCGGGUGUUGUGGACUAAGGACAGGACAGCCUCUCUGUCUCGCUCUCACAAAGGUCUCUCUCUCUCUGUAGUGACUGCAGCUUCCCCCCACCAUGCUGUGUAAGCAGACGGCUUCUCCUAGAGUCACUCUGGCAUGGCAUUUUAUCAUUUUUAUUGAUUUUUCUUAAUUUAAGACAUACAAAAGUGUAUCUUCCAUUUGAAAAAAAAAAAGAAAGGCAAUUGUGUUUCUUUUAAUUGCUUUGGGGCCGUGCUUUCUUUCUGCUGAUUUACUCUCUUAAUAAACAGGCAGUCCUACGGUGAGACCGUUUUACUUGUAUAAUCAACUGACAUCAUUUUUUUUUAAAUGAAACUAACCCACUGCGGGCUGGAGAGAUGGCUGGAGUUCAGACUGCUGGUGAUUUCAAAAUGAGGCCUUGAGAAGCAGAAGAUUGAGGGAGACGGUGGCUGGGGCCAGGGUAUCGGACCACUGUGUACCCCUGGGUCACUGAGGCACAGUUGUCUGCUUUUUUUUUAAUAUUUAUUUACUUUUAUUUUAUGUUUAUGGAUAUUUUGCCUGCAUUUGUGUCUGUGCACCGUGUGAAUAGUUGGUCCCCAUGGAGGCUAUCAGGCCAUUAGGAGUCACCGUGCUGGGAAUCGAACUCAGGUCCUCUCUGCAAGAACAACUAGUGCUCUUGACUGUGGAGCUAGCUCUUCUGAGCAUAGCUCUAAGAGGUCAGUGUUAGCUGAGGAGAUGGUUGCAGCUCAGUGCAGAGGAUGCAGCUCAACGGCAGAGCAGCAAAGCUCAGAGCUUUGACUCCUGGCAGCAGGGACAAGCAAUAAGAGAGGCCCAUUUCUCAGGCACUGGUUCUACAGAAGCCUGGAGAACAAGCUUCCCUGAAGACUCCUCAAUUCUCUCCUCCACCAAAACGCAGCUUGUAGACACACUUACAGGAGCCUGCAGAGGUGAGGUUGGAAGAGGACAUCGGAUCCCCCCCGAACUGAAGUUCCAGAUGUGAGCUGCCACAUGGGUGCUGGACGGGGUCGUCUGCAAGAGUAGUCAGUGUUCUUAACCACGGAGACAUCUGUCCAGCCCCCAGUAGUUUGAUUUCCUUUUUAAACUGCAGGAUUAGAGUAUUUACGAUCUUGUUCCUUGUUCAUCAGUCUCCCUCGGGGCUACCUUGCAGUGUAGAUGGCUGCUAUAAUCUGUAGGCAAACACUUUGGAGGAGGCAAUGUUAGCAGGGCAAGAAAGGCUCAGUAAGGAGAAACUUCUGGCUGAGAGACCAGAAUCUCUGGCCUAGGUGGAGAUCUCACAAUUCAGAGGAACGGGUCAGUGACCUGGCAGAGGGACCACCCCCAGGAAGGCAGGUUCACCUUAAGCCAUGCUAAAGAGAUGGGUGGGAUAGUUGUUCCUUUAAUGAAAUACUGUCCUUUUCCUUCCCAGAAUCCCCAACACACACACACACACACACACACACACACACACACACACACACACACACACAGAGUGCAGUCCUUAUGAAUCGAGCCACCGGGAGGUUCAGCUUGGUCUGUUCAUCUUGAGUCAGAAAGGUGUACAUUUUUCUUUUUUCCAUUUUCUGUCUUUUUCAGAUGAUUGCCAGGAUCUAAGUAUGCUUUUUCUGGUACCCUGGGCUUCGUUGCUCUUUCUCUAAAGCCCCCUCCACGCCUGCUCUUCUGUUAGUCAGAUGAUGCUAAUGGUAGCUAACUCACAAGGGUAGCAGGAAGACCCAGCAGAUAAUAUAUGCAAAAUACUUGCAACAGGGUUGGCACAUCAUAAAUACCUAGAAAAUAGUAGGAACUUAUUAUUAAUAAUAAGUGGAUAUACACUUCCCAAGCAGGUGGUAAAUACAUGGGUGUUAUUUUGAUUAAGUUUUCAAAUGCUCAUAGAUCUUACGAACACUUUUUAUGUGCAUGAUGUGUGUAGGACGCGGGUGAACGUACAUUAAAAAUAAAUGAGCGCGUAUGAGGAUAUUUCAGAAAUCCAAAAUAGAGAGAAAUAUCCCAUCCUGCUAUUGAACCUCUGUGUCAAAUAAUGGUACUGUACUGGUGUUCUGAGUCAUGGCUCAAAAGUAAGGGUCCUAUAGGGCUAGUAUUGAUGGCCUGUGUUGAUAUUUUCAUGUCUUCUCUUCCUGGUGCUCGGGAUUUAACAGAGGGCCUGGUACCUGCUAGGCAAGUGCUCUCCAGUUAAGCUGUAUCUCCGGUCUCUUCUUGUGGUUUUCUGAGCCUGCUCUGGGUGUUUCUGUAUAGCUCAGGUUACCCUCAAUUCAUAAUCUUUCUGCUCUCGAGCCCUGGGUGCUAGGCCUAUAGGAAUAUGCUGUCAUGUCUGGCUUUUUCAUUAGGUUGUCAGGUUGUAGAUUCGAUGGAGUCACAAGGAUUGACCCACCUUAAUGGCUGCCCAGUACAGGAGGAAGGGCAGCUACGAGAUUCUGCAGAGGGGAACUGAUUCAUUUUGCAUCAACUCAUAUGCCAUAUAUGCCAAUGACUCCUUCCACUAGCAAAUGCUGAAACAUCACCUUUUACUUUGUCCCCUGUCUCCUCUGGCCACCUCCUUUGGCUUUCUGAGACAGGGUUUCCCUGUGUAGCCCUGGCUGUCCUGGAACUUGCUCUGUAGACCAGACUGACCUCAAACUCAGAGGUUUGUAUACCUUUGCCUCUCAAGUGCGGUGAGUAAAGGUGUGCGCCACCACACCUAGGUCAUCACCUUUUCUAUUUCCUUUAUUGUCUUCUUUUAAUCUCUCUACAUGGAAAGAGGGUGAUGUUGGUGAGGUUGUUUAAUUUGGGGCUUCAGAAGAUGGUCCAGGUGAAAUGGACACACCAUACUCCAUUUCUCUGGUACUCUUUGCAGGGUUGCUGUUGCUCUCAAAGCCUGUUGCAGCAGAGUUAAUUUCCUGACCCGAAGACACCUCUUUUGCAUAGUUCCUGGAGUCUGCAGUGCUACCCUGGCCCCCUCCAAAUGCCAGCUGCUGCCCAGCAUUCAUUUGUGAACCUGUUCGCAUCCUUCAAACCAGCUGCAAGUGUCUUGCCCAUCUCUGAAUCACUUGUGACUGACUCGGCAACUGACUAUGGCUGGAAGGAUGGGCUAGCGCUUCUAGGACCAAGUUGAAGAAGGCGUAGCCACUUCCUUCCUGUCUGCUUGUGGGAAGCUAGCUGCCCAGUCAUGAGGAGGCAGAAGGUCUAGGAAGAAGCUCACCCAGAGGAGGAAAUAAAGUCUCCUGCCGACAGCCAGCUGCAACUUGUUCUGCAUGUGAGCAAGCCGUCAUAGCAGAGAUUCUUCUAGAACAAACCAAGGAACUUGAUGGUCCAGGAACUAGUUCGGCACCACGGGAGUGAGAACUCACUCGCUUUCCUGAGAACUGCCCAAAACACACAAGAAAGACAUUAAGCCAUCCACUGAAACCUCCACAUGUUCCCACGGAUUGAUUUAGAGGGAUACUCAACCCACAACUAUGGGGUAUCAAGAUCUCAUGAACCCAAAGAGGACACUUAGACCAGGAAGCAGAGGGUGAGAGGCCAGAAAGAGAGGGGUCCCCUGUCACCCAGAGUGAGAAGCCCCCCUCCCGUUCUCAGAGCUCACGUAGGGUGGGGCACUGUGUUUGUUUACACUGGGCAGCUGGGAGAUCUUCCCCUGAAGGACAGGCUCCACACAGCACAGUAUCCUCACUGCCAAGUGCUCUUCGGGUGUCCGUCUCUGCCAUCAGUAUUUUUAGCAUAUGGCCUUUGGAGCCCGAAGAACAACGUCCACCUCCCAGAACUGGUCCUCCAGCUGACAGAUAGGACUGCAUGAAAGAGGGCACUUCAGGUAGGUCUGACAGGCGAGAGCCUGUUCUGCUGCCGAUCUGUUGGAGGAGAUGAAGUCAGACUGCCAGUGUUACAGAAAGCCUGUCUCUUGCCUCUCUCUUUGGCAGCAGAGGCCAACCGAGUCGGUGCAAAUCAGAUGCUAACGGCAACCCCUCCGCCCAGAAAUCCCAAGUGGAAGGACGCCUCUCGUGAAAUUGCCUUCCGUGACAGUUACAGACAGCCUGAAGGGAAUACCUGUCCAGGUGAUACGGGACAAGAAAAACACCACGAUGUAAGCAUCGUUUCUACAGAUCUCACAACAGGCCCCAAGCCAACCCCGUUGGGAUUCGUAUCAUGCUUUGUUGCACCAGAUGAAGUCUGAUCUGGGACCGUGCCAGAAAACACGGAAGGAAGACGAGAAAGGGUGAAGAGCUUCUAAAUUAGAUUCUGCUGGGGCCAGGAAAGCAGACACGACUGCCGUGGAGAAGGUCAAUGCAAGCAUUUUAAAAUCGUGUCUUCCUUUUCAUGAUAAUCAAACAUUAAAAUGAGUGCAUUCUCUGCUCUCUGGAAAA